GACGAACGCUGGCGGCGUGCUUAACACAUGCAAGUCGAACGGAAAGGCCCUGCUUUUGUGGGGUGCUCGAGUGGCGAACGGGUGAGUAACACGAGAGUAACCUGCCCUUGACUUUGGUAUAACUUCAGGAAACUGGGGCUAAUACCGGAUAGGAGCUCCUGCUGCAUGGUGGGGGUUGGAAAGUUUCGGCGGUUGGGGAUGGACUCGCGGCUUGUGAGCUUGUUGGUGGGGUAGGGGCUGACCAAGGCUUUGACGGGUAGCCGGCCUGAGAGGGUGACCGGCGACAUUGGGACUGAGAUAGGGCCCAGACGCCUACGGGAGGGAGCAGUGGGGAAUAUGGUACAGUGGGCGGGAGCCUGAUGCGGCGGCGCCGGGUGCGGGAUGACGGCCUUCGGGUUGUAAACCGCUUUCGCCUGUGACGAAGCGUGAGUGACGGUAAUGGGUAAAGAAGCACCGGCUAACUACGUG
rnacentral:rRNA from 1 species